AAGCUGCUCCUAAGAGAGUGUCCUCUACAGGAUAGGUGAAGAAACCUCAGAAUUACAGACCUAUUUGCGAGGCACUCUGUAAUAAGUCCUAAUCAGAAGUCCCCUGAACUUCUGAUUGGCAAAUUUUCUUCCAGUGUCUGAGGUGAGAAAUUGUUUGGGACUUCAAAAUAGAUUGGCACAUCUAGAGUACAGCUAUUGGUGUUUUGAAAAUAGCUAUCUCUUUGGUUCAGUAGGCCUAUCUGGUUGGCCUUUUUGAAGACAUUAACCUGUAUGUUAUCCAUGCCAAACGUGUAACAAUCAUGCCAAAAGAUAUCCAACUAGCACAAUGCAUU
rnacentral:lncRNA from 1 species